AACGAACGCUGGCGGCGCGCCUAAUACAUGCAAGUCGAGCGAGAAGACGUAGCAAUACGUUUGUAAAGCGGCGAACGGGUGAGGAAUACAUGGGUAACCUACCCUCGAGUGGGAAUAACUAGCCGAAAGGUUAGCUAAUACCGCGUACGCUUCUUGGACUUCGGUUCAGGGAGGAAAGCGAUACCGUGGGUAUCGCGCUCUUGGAUGGGCUCAUGUCCUAUCAGCUUGUUGGUGAGGAACGGCUCACCAAGGCUUCGACGGGUAGCUGGUCUGAGAGGACGAUCAGCCACACUGGCACUGCGACACGGGCCAGACUCCUACGGGAGGCAGCAGUAAGGAAUAUUGCGCAAUGGGCGAAAGCCUGACGCAGCGACGCCGCGUGGGGGAGUGAA
rnacentral:rRNA from 1 species